rnacentral:rRNA from 1 species
AUGACCUACUACCCUGCAUGCCCCGUGGGUCAUGAUAAAGUUUUGGGGAUUUCACCCCAUUCCGACAUUUCAAUGCUAACGCUGGUAUGGGAGCUGAAUAUGGUGGGAGGGCUCCAGAUCAAGAGACAAGAUGCAGGGGUGCCGGUAAAACCCCAGCCCAAGGCAUUGGCGGUGAAUGUUGGUGACUUUCUUGAGAUAUUGACAAAUGGAAAGUACCAAAACAUUGAGCACAGGGUCACCGUUAAUCCUCACAAGAAGAGGAUGUCCAAUUCUGCUUUUCACCUCCCAAAGUUUGAUAUGAGCGUGGGCCCACUAUCUGAAAUAGUUGGAGCCGAGGUCAAGAAAUACAAGACCCUGAGGGUGGACGAGGUUGCUAUGCCAUGCUUAGCGUCUGAGUCUACAAGAGCAGAAAUUUCAACAGCCGUAGUUGCUAUAAUAAACUAUAUAGGCCCGAAACAUUUGCGCUGCUCCACUUUGGUCAUGGUUAAUUGA